rnacentral:tRNA from 6 species
GCCCAUUUGGUGAAAUAGGUAAACACGACAGAUUUAAAAUCUGUUCUUUUUAAGUUAUCGGUUCAAGUCCGAUAGUGGGCA